UGCCAGCAGCCGCGGUAAUACGAACGGUCCGAGCGUUAAGCGGAAUCACUGGGCUUAAAGCGUGCGUAGGCGGGACGGUAAGUAUCUUGUGAAAGCCCACGGCUCAACCGUGGAAUUGCAGGGUAUACUGCCGUCCUUGAGGAUGGUAGAGGUCGUCGGAACUCUAGGUGUAGCGGUGAAAUGCGUAGAUAUCUAGAGGAACGUCAAUGGCGAAGGCAGACGACUGGGCCAUUUCUGACGCUGAGGCACGAAAGCGUGGGUAGCGAACAGGAUUAGAUA
rnacentral:rRNA from 1 species